rnacentral:hammerhead_ribozyme from 1 species
CUGCUACUGAUGAGUCCCACGAUAGGACGAAACGGCCGUCCAGUGC